GACAGAGGGUGCAAACGUUGUUCGGAAUUACUGGGCGUAAAGCGUGUGUAGGCGGCUACGCAAGUCGGAUGUGAAAGCCCUGGGCUCAACUCAGGAAGUGCACCCGAUACUGCGCAGCUAGAGUACCGGAGAGGUUGGUAGAAUUCUCGGUGUAGAGGUGAAAUUCGUAGAUAUCGAGAGGAAUACCUGUGGCGAAGGCGGCCAACUGGACGAGUACUGACGCUGAGACACGAAAGCGUGGGGAGCAAACAGG
rnacentral:rRNA from 1 species